rnacentral:rRNA from 1 species
ACGCGAUCCCCCAUGAUUUUUGAAGUGCUUGCACAGAUUGAUGAUUGGAUUUUGGAUUGAGUGGCGAACGGGUGAGGAACACGUUGGUAUCUGCCCCCAAGUCAGGGAUAACCUUCCGAAAGGAAGAUUAAUACCGGAUAGUCUCUUCGGAGUAAAGAUUUAUUGCUUGGGGAGGAACCUGCGUUCUAUCAGCUUGUUGGUGAGGUAAUAGCUCACCAAGGCUAUGACGGAUAACUGGUCUGAGAGGAUGACUAGUCACAAUGGAACUGAGACACGGUCCAUACUCCUACGGGAGGCAGCAGUGAGGAAUCUUCCACAAUGGGCGAAAGCCUGAUGGAGCGACACCGCGUGAAGGAUGAAGGUCUAACGAUUGUAAACUUCUUUUCUGAGGGAGCAUAAUGAGAGUACCUUAGGAAUAAGGGACGGCUAAAUACGUGCCAGCAGCCGCGGUAAUACGUAUGUCUCGAGCGUUACCCGGAAUCAUUGGGUGUAAAGGGUCCGUAGGCGGUUUUAUAAGUUGAACAUGAAAGACCGGAGCUCAACUCCGUGUUUGUAUUCAAAACUGUAAAACUAGAAUGAGGGAGAGGUAAGCGGAAUUCUGAGUGUAGGGGUGCAAUCCGUAGAUACUCAGAGGAACACCGAAAGCGAAGGCAGCUUACUGGAACUCUAUUGACGCUGAGGGACGAAAGCGUGGGUAGCGAAAAGGAUUAGAUACCCUUGUAGUCCACGCCCUAAACGAUGUCAACUAGGUGUUGGGAAUAAUCUCAGUGCCGUAGCUAACGCGUUAAGUUGACCACCUGAGUAGUACGGUCGCAAGAUUAAAACUCAAAGGAAUAGACGGGGACCCACACAAGCAGUGGAUCACGUGGUUUAAUUCGACAAUAAACGGGGAAUCUUACCCAGACUUGACAUCUAUCG